rnacentral:misc_RNA from 1 species
GAAAUGCGAUAAGUAAUGUGAAUUGCAGAAUUCAGUGAAUCAUCGAAUCUUUGAACGCACAUUGCGCCCGCCAGUAUUCUGGCGGGCAUGCCUGUUCGAGCGUCAUUUCAACCAUCAAGCCCCCGGGCUUGUGUUGGGGACCUGCGGCUGCCCGCAGGCCCUGAAAACCAGUGGCGGGCUCGCUAGUCACACCGAGCGUAGUAGCAAUCACCUCGCUCAGGGCGUGCUGCGGGUUCCGGCCGUUAAAGAUCCUUACAAACCCAAGGUUGACCUCGGAUCAGGUAGGAAGACCCGCUGAACUUAAGC